UUUUUUUUAAAUCAAAAUAAAGCAUUAAUCUGGCUUUCACUUAUUGUUAUUGUUAUGGUCAAUAUAUUCCAUACAUUGUUCUAAAUCUUGUGGUAUGCUAUCUACCCUAUAGCAGGCCUACUUUACAAUCAAACUCUAAAGGGUUGCUUGGAAAGCACAGUAUUGCUUGAUGUGUAUUGCUGCAUUCACAUUAAGGCCUUUACAUCAUUGUUAUUUGUUCCUUUGUCCAACAGAGCAUUGGAAUAUUCAUCAAAUCUAAUGACAUUUCUGGAUUUAUAAAGUCAUUGGAGUAGUAGAUUAUUUAAUAUUUCUAUUUUCCUAACACAUUAACUACUUAAACAUAAAAACCUCUCAUGCUCUCUGUACAAUCUGUUUC